rnacentral:snRNA from 1 species
AUUCUUAUCUGGCAAGGGAGCUACCAUAAUCAAGAAAGAGGUUUUCCCAGUGAGGCCUGGGCCUUGCACUCUGGGCAGGCUGACCCCUGCAAGUUUUCACAAAUGCACAAAAUUAGAUUUCACAAUUUUAUGGCAAUGGGGGACUUAUUGCUUGCUUUCCCACA